UGAGGAAUAUUGGGCAAUGGGCGCAAGCCUGACCCAGCCAUGCCGCGUGCAGGAAGACGGUCCUAUGGAUUGUAAACUGCUUUUAUACGGGAAGAAACACUCCCUCGUGAGGGAGCUUGACGGUACCGUAAGAAUAAGGAUCGGCUAACUCCGUGCCAGCAGCCGCGGUAAUACGGAGGAUCCAAGCGUUAUCCGGAAUCAUUGGGUUUAAAGGGUCCGUAGGCGGCCUUAUAAGUCAGUGGUGAAAUCCCAUCGCUCAACGAUGGAACUGCCAUUGAUACUGUAAGGCUUGAAUAAUUGUGAAGUAACUAGAAUAUGUAGUGUAGCGGUGAAAUGCUUAGAUAUUACAUGGAAUACCAAUUGCGAAGGCAGGUUACUAACAAUUGAUUGACGCUGAUGG
rnacentral:rRNA from 1 species